AUAUGUUACCAAUAGACAUGAUCGAUGGUCAUGCUUUAACACGCGAUCCACUUGUUGUCCUUGUAAGUUUGAUUUCUACCUCCGGCCUUAACCUCACUCCAUAUAUUAUUGUUCGGGGAAGAAGAAAUAGGCCGCUGUUUUUCUCUUCGGUUUGCAAGAUGAAAUAGGCUGCCGUUUCAAAGAGACAUCGUAUACACGGGAGACACUCUCAAAACUUCAUCGUUAGCUAUGAGCCGCAUGCCGAUGAAGAACAAGUAAAGUUUAUUCUAUAGGUAUGGAGAUGUAUUAAUUCAUUUCUCAUUAACCUAUUUCCUCAAUGUUUUGUUAUUUAUUUGGUUUCAGAAAAUUAAUUUCUUCUCGUUGAACUCAAUUGAAUUUAGUGCGUGUGUGUGUGUGUGUUUUCUGGCUCUGUUGUGUGUAUAUGUCUUGUAUGUAUUUCUUAACCGGAAUAAACGUGGAAGUCAAAGAGAACGUCACAGAGAAAGGGCUAAUGCUCGCACCACCGGCAAAGGAAAGGGUAAAGAUGAUGGCUUCACCACUGAACAGCGCCGUGAAAGAGGGAUGCAAAGGAACUUCAAGAAAAGACAGCAAAGAAUGCAGCACAAGCAGCAGCUGGAAGUGUGACGCUGGGAGUGAUCCUUUUUAUAACUUCGUUGUGUAACAUUAAACGACCAGUUCUAUAUGUUUUUUUUUCUUUUCGGUUUUUUUUCUGGUGAAAGUGUAAGUGCCGAAUUGCAAUAAUAGACAUGUGAAACAUGAUGGAUUUUUGGGUGCACCGCCUUUUCUCCAAUUCUCUCAAUUCCUCUGUUAUUGCCAACCCUUUCCCCCUUCUUUGCUCCCCUUACUUUUCAUGAUUUUGUUUGCAGCAUGAAUUUAUUUUUUCAUUUCCCGUGCCCGUCGCAGGUUGCAAUUCGAAAUUCCAGCAUCCACCGUCGAGAUAAAGGAUAAUUCAAGUGGAAUGCCCGUGCAGAAAGACAAGAACAUUUGUCGCUCGGUUGAUCAAGUUGGUAUGCUUGGAAUUUGUUUUCAUGAUUAUUUAAACAGCCUGCGUGCUUUUUCAUUCCUUGCUCAGGGAUGGAGGUAGUUCAUAUAUAUGAAAAUAACGUUUCCCACUUUUCACAUGCAUUUAUCAUAUUCAAUGGCGUUCGAAUAAUUUAAAAGUCAUAAGUUUAUUGAUCAAAUAGAAAUAUAAUUUAAACCACUACUCAUUGUUUAUAGAUACUAAAACAUGUUGAGACUAAAAUAUUGACAAAAGUAAAAAACUUGCUUCUAUUUUUUUUAUAUAAGGAGUUCAAUAUAGAAGCAAGUUUUUUAAUAGAAGCAAUUAUACUUAUGUAUCUGUCAAAAUUAUAUUUUUGUGUUUGAAGUUGAUGUUAAUCUGUUCUUCUGCUCUAUGGAUUUGGACAGUAAAAAAAAAGUCAUUCCGCGAGCAGUACUAAUUACCGGGAUUGACGGAGCACUAAUUACCGGGAUUGACGGAGCAGCAUUCAUAGCAUACUAAUGAGUAAUGAUGCAUAGGCAUCGUAGUUUAAUUUAUGCACUCCCCAUAUACACGAGAAGGGUAUAUUGUGGUUUAUGUUCCUUUCCCUUUUGAUAUAUAUACAUUUUGAAUGCAAAGAUUUGAUAGUUCAGGGAUAGAAAUUUAUGUCUGCAAAUUUGGUGUUUAGUGAACAUUAGAGAACUGCUACAUUAUUCCUUCUGGCAAACAAUCUUUUACUAUCGGACAUGAAACGAUCUUUUAAUAUUGGA